CCUACGGGGGGCAGCAGUGAGGAAUAUUGGUCAAUGGGCGCGAGCCUGAACCAGCCAAGUAGCGUGAAGGAUGACUGCCCUAUGGGUUGUAAACUUCUUUUAUAAAGGAAUAAAGUGAAGCACGUGUGCUUUUUUGUAUGUACUUUAUGAAUAAGGAUCGGCUAACUCCGUGCCAGCAGCCGCGGUAAUACGGAGGAUCCGAGCGUUAUCCGGUUUUAUUGGGUUUAAAGGGAGCGGAGGCGGAAUGUCAAGUCAGCGGUAAAAUUUCGGGGCUCAACCCCAUCGUGCCGUUGAAACUGGCGUUCUUGAGUGAACGAGAGGUAUGCGGAAUGCGUGGUGUAGCGGUGAAAUGCAUAGAUAUCACGAAGAACUCCGAUUGCGAAGGCAGCCGACCGGA
rnacentral:rRNA from 1 species